UACGGAGGGAGCUAGCGUUGUUCGGAAUUACUGGGCGUAAAGCGCGCGUAGGCGGCUUUGUAAGUUAGAGGUGAAAGCCCGGGGCUCAACCCCGGAACUGCCUUUAAGACUGCAUCGCUUGAAUCCAGGAGAGGUCGGUGGAAUUCCCGGUGUAGUGGUGAAAUGCGUAGAGAUCGGGAGGAACACCUGUGGCGAAGGCGGCCGACUGGGCCGACCCUGACGCUGAGGCGCGAAGGCGUGGGGAGCGAACGGG
rnacentral:rRNA from 1 species